rnacentral:tRNA from 1 species
GCCCCUGUGGUGUAGUCCGGUCAAUCAUUCGGCCCUUUCGAGGCUGGGACCCGGGUUCGAAUCCCGGCGGGGGCA